rnacentral:rRNA from 1 species
UACAGAGGUGGCAAGCGUUGUUCGGAAUUACUGGGCGUAAAGGGCUCGUAGGUGGCCAACUAAGUCAGACGUGAAAUCCCUCGGCUUAACCGGGGAACUGCGUCUGAUACUGGAUGGCUUGAGUUUGGGAGAGGGACGCGGAAUUCCAGGUGUAGCGGUGAAAUGCGUAGAUAUCUGGAGGAACACCGGUGGCGAAGGCGGCGUCCUGGACCAACACUGACACUGAUGAGCGAAAGCCAGGGGAGCAAACGGG